AACGAACGCUGGCGGCGCGUCUUAAACAUGCAAGUCGAACGGCAGGAAGGGGCUUGCCCCUUCUGAGAGUGGCGGACUGGUGAGUAACACGUGGGUGACAUACCUUUUAGUUGGGGAUAGCUAUUAGAAAUAGUAGGUAAUACCGAAUGUGACCGUACCUGUUAGAGGGGUACGAGGAAAGGAGCUAAGGCUUCGCUAAAAGAAUGGCUCGCGGCCCAUUAUGCUCGUUGGUGAGGUAACGGCCCACCAAGGCGAUGAUGGGUAUCCGGCCUGAGAGGGUGAACGGACACAUUGGGACUGAGAUACGACCCAGACUUCUACGGGAGGCAGCAGUUAAGAAUAUUCUGCAAUGGACGAAAGUCUGACGGAGCGACGCCGCGUGGAUGAAGAAUGCCGAAAGGUUGUAAAAUCCUUUUAAGCCUGAUGAAUAAGCACAGUAGGGAAUGAUUGUGCGGUGACCGUAGGGCUUGAAUAAGCACCGGCUAAUUACGUG
rnacentral:rRNA from 1 species